rnacentral:rRNA from 1 species
UCAUAUGCUUGUCUCAAAGAUUAAGCCAUGCAUGUGUAAGUACAAGCCGAGUUAAGGCGAAACCGCGAAUGGCUCAUUAAAUCAGCUAUGUUUCAUUGGAUCUGUAAACCCACUUUGGAGCCUGAGAAACGGCUACCACAUCUAAGGAAGGCAGCAGGCACGCAAAUUACCCACUCCCGGCUCGGGGAGGUAGUGACGAAAAAUAACGAUGCGAGACUCAUCCGAGGCCUCGCAAUCGGAAUGAGUACACUUUAAAUCCUUUAACGAGGACGCAUUGGAGGGCAAGUCUGGUGCCAGCAGCAGCAGCGGUAAUUCCAGCUCCAAUAGCGUAUACUAAAGUUGCUGCGAUUAAAAAGCUCGUAGUUGGACCUGAGUUCCGGACUGACGGUUUCUGUUCACCGCCAGGUGAAUUGCUGUCACGCUCUGGACAGGUCGAUUGAUUGGUUUUGGCGCAGCCGGCUUGCACGGGGUGCUCUUCACCGAGUGUCCCGAGUGGCCGGCACUUGGUAUUUGGAACCUGAGGUAAUAAUGACUAAUCGGGACGGACGGGGGCAUUCGUAUUGCGACGCUAGA